rnacentral:tRNA from 1 species
AAUUAAUGAGCUUGUAUAAGCAUUUGUUUUGAAAACUUAAGAAAGAAUAUAUAAAUAUUUCUAUUAAUUU